rnacentral:rRNA from 1 species
UGGGAAUAUUGCACAAUGGGCGAAAGCCUGAUGCAGCAACGCCGCGUGAGUGAUGAAGGCCUUCGGGUUGUAAAGCUCUGUCUUUUGGGACGAUAAUGACGGUACCAAAGGAGGAAGCCACGGCUAACUACGUGCCAGCAGCCGCGGUAAUACGUAGGUGGCAAGCGUUGUCCGGAUUUACUGGGCGUAAAGGAUGCGUAGGCGGAUUUUUAAGUGAGAUGUGAAAUACCCGGGCUUAACUUGGGUGCUGCAUUUCAAAACUGGGAAUCUAGAGUGCGGGAGAGGAGAAAUGGAAUUCCUAUGUAGCGGUGAAAUGCGUAGAGAUUAGGAAGAACACCAGUGGCGAAGGCGAUUCUCUGGACCGUAACUGACGCUGAGGCAUGAAAGCGU